UCCACUUUCAAUAGUGCAUUCCAGGCUACAGAUAAGGGGCGUACAGGCGUAAUGUAUGCCUAAAAAUCAAUGAAGUAUGACAUAAUAUGAGAUUACAAGCGUAUCGUGUACGCACAUAAAUACAUUUGUAUGUCUAA